rnacentral:rRNA from 1 species
GACGAACGCUGGCGGCGUGCUUAACACAUGCAAGUCGAACGGAAAGGCCCUGCUUUUGUUGGGUGCUCGAGUGGCGAACGGGUGAGUAACACGUGAGUAACCUGCCCUUGACUUUGGGAUAACUUCAGGAAACUCGGGCUAAUACCGGAUAGGAGCUCCUGCUGCAUGGUGGGGGUUGGAAAGUUUCGGCGGUUGGGGAUGGACUCGCGGCUUAUCCGCUUGUUGGUGGGGUAGUGGCUUACCAAGUCUUUGACGGGUAGCCGGCCUGAGAGGGUGACCGGCCACAUUGGGACUGAGAUACGGCCCAGACUCCUACGGGAGGCAGCAGUGGGGAAUAUUGCACAAUGGGCGGAAGCCUGAUGCAGCAACGCCGCGUGCGGGAUGACGGCCUUCGGGUUGUAAACCGCUUUCGCCUGUGACGAAGCGUGAGUGACGGUAAUGGGUAAAGAAGCACCGGCUAACUACGUG